UCCCGCCCCCCCAUGAAUGGGAUUCUCCUGACUGUAUGCAAGGGGACAGGUAAUCCCUGUAUACACAAACUAGAAAAGCAAACAGCUUGGAAAAUAGCAGGGAGAACUGUCAGCGCUGAUAUCAACACACAGAAAUACUUUCAGGAUAGGGUAGCUUGGAAAACCACCACAUGAUGUCACCUCUCCUAAUGGGACGGUCUGUUCUAGCCACUUACGGUAAGGCAGCCAGCGUGGUGGAAGAGACUACAGUUCAGGGCUCUGUAGCAGGACACCUGGAUUUUCUGUUCGGACUCUGCCUUGCCUGACCUGGGGCUUCUGCUUCCCUUCUCUGGGCCCCUCCAUGAAAUCAAAUGAACCUCUUGGGUCCUUCCCCUACUAAAGCGCACUGCCCUUCUGGCUGGCGCCCCCUAGAGCAGAUCUAGAGCUACAGUUCGGGGCCCUGGGGCUACACUUGUGGACUGCCAGAGACCACCUCUGGCGGAAGCACCGGCCGCACUCCAGGCAGGGGAAGGGCUUCUCCCCUGUGUGCAGGAGCUGGUGCUGAGCCAGGUGGCUCCACUGGGCAAAGCGCUUGGCACACAGGUCGCAGGCAUAAGGCCGCUCGCCUGAGUGCACGCGCCGGUGACUAGCCAGGAGCGAGGGGUAGGCGAAGCGGCGGCCACAGUCCUCGCAGGCGUGUAGCUUCUCCUCCGUGUGCGUGCUGCGGUGGAUGGCUAGGGAGCCGCUCCGCCGGAAGGCGCGGCCGCAGUCCGGGCAGGGGUAGGGCUUCUCUCCUGUGUGCAAGAGCUGGUGCUGGAGCAACGUGCUGCGCUGGGAAAAGCGGGCCUCACAGUGCUCGCAAGCAUAGGGGCGCUCCCCGGAGUGCACCCGCCGGUGGCUGACCAGGCGAGAGGAUGAAGAGAAACGCCGCUCGCAGUCUGGACACGGGUAGGGCUUCUCGCCUGUGUGGAUACGCUGAUGGAUGACGAGGGCGGUGCGCUGCCGAAAGCGGCGGUUGCAUUCCAGGCAGGUGUAGGGCUUCUCUCCCGUGUGUGUGCGUUGGUGGAUGGCUAGCAGGGAAGGAUAGGCAAAGCGCCGCCCGCAGCUGGGGCACUGGUGGGGCUUUUCACCUGUAUGCGUGGUCCGGUGAUUGGCCAAGGAGCGGCUUCUACGGAAGCAGCGGCCACAGUCGGGGCAGUGGUAGGGCUUCUCCCCUGUGUGGAUAACCUGGUGCUGCGAGAGGUUCUUGCGUUGGGAGAAACGUUUGCCACACUGGUCACACACGUAGGGACACUCACCAGAGUGUGCCCGCCGGUGACUGACCAGCAGGGAGGGAUAGGAAAAGCGGCGCCCACAGUCUGGGCAAGGAUAAGGCUUUUUCAGAUUCUGGGCACACUUGUGGCUCUCCAGGGCCAGAUGAUCAGGGAAGGUACAACCACAAUCAGGGCAGAUGGGGCCCCCAGAUGUCUGCCUGGGGAUCAGCCGGGGUUUGCUGGGCCGCCGCCCUCUCUUCCCUUUUCGGGGUGCCUCCUUAGGCGGGAAUACUUCCUUCUCUCCAUUCUUCUUUCUGGUUCUGGUUUCUAUAGAAACACAGGGAGAGAUUAAUUUAACAAAUACUACUCCCCUAUCCUUGCCCCUGACACUGUUACAGGUGAGAAGACAAACAGGCUCAGCCCCUCUUCAAGGAGUGUUAGUGCCAAGGACAACAAGCUGUGACAUACUACUAAAGAAAUAGGGAGGAUAUUCCAGUAGUCCCCAGCUCUAUCUGGAGAAGUCAGGAAGAGUUUCUUGGAGGUUAUGCAGAUUUAAGAAAUUACAAAUUUUUGAAGAGGUUAAGUGUAAGGCAGGAAGUAGAAGCAUGAGGUGUGAGAUGGCAGUGACUAGGUCAUAAGGCCCUCUAGGCCAAUGGUUCUCAAAUUUUAUUGUGAUGAGAAUUAUUUGGGUAGCUUAUUGAAACAAGUUUGGCUUCAGCAGGUCUGGCAUGGAGCCCAAGAUUUUGUAUUUCUGAUUCUUUCCUGAGUGAUGCUGCUGCUGGUCUGAGGACCACACUCUCAACCACUGCUGUUGAGGACCUUAAACUCCAGUGCUUCUCAAACGUAAACAUGCAUGCCAAUCAACUGGGGCUGUUAACAAAAGAAAUACAAGGUCCUAGAUAUCCAUCAGAGUAAAUUAAUAGUUCUGGGUCCAGGAAUCUUUUUUUUUUUUUUUUUUUUACUGAGUUCCUCAAGUGACUGCGCUAUAACUGACAGCCACAUGACAACCUGCCAUGGCAAAAACGGAAAAGUUUUAAGCAAGGAAGUAUCAUGGACAGAUCUGAAUCUUGGAAAGACAGCCCUGGUCUCAGAGAAUCCAGCACACAAACAGCAGCCCAAGCAGUUAUAUCCACCCCUAUGGGUGAAUCUGGGACCGGUCCACCUUAAUGGCAUUAAUCAGAGCCUUGCUUGAUCCUGAGAGCAGAUUCCUGCACCGAUUAGGGGUUGCCCUGCCAAAAGGGCAAAAAGAGGACCCUGCACCCCAGGCAGCUGUUCCCCAUGAGAUCCCUUCAACCCAAAUCCAGAACACCCAGACAGGUACCAGGUGUCUCAGUCAGAGCCCAGUUCAGAGCAGACUGGAGGACAGGGAUCCUGGGAAGGAGGCCAGAGGGUAGCUCCUUCUAAAAGCUCACCAAUUCAUUCACACAACAGAGAACUGCAGGCCCUUGGUUUGCAAACUGACAUGUAAAUCACUGUAUGGUGGACCCACCCAACACCAUCAGAGAGACAAGAUCCUAAGGUGUGAAAAUGAACACAGAAAAUCAAGCAUUACAGCAUGGGCCACAGGCUCCCCAGGCCACCAACACUCUAGACUAAGUCGUUAGAGGUUGCAGGCCCUUUGCAGGCAUUUUACACUCACUUCUUUGGACUGUUACCCGUCUUGGGCACUCCUGCGGAUCCAGGGCAGCCGGUUCCCAAUCAUCGGUAUUUCGUUCCAACCAGGAGAUGAGGGCUGGUUUGGGGCCUGCGCACCCUGGGCGAGGAGAACCAGUCAGACUUCCAGCUCCUAGAUAACGCUCGGAAACUCCUGCCCGAACUUGGGUGAAAGGCACCGGAAGAUGCCUUCGGGGAAGAUGGCGGCGCUGCUACCGCACCGCCUUAGCCUGGAACACAGGCGGCUUCCAGCUAUCGAUUUUAUUGACCGGAGCGCCAUGCCGGCUUCCUAACCUCUUUGCCCUCAAGUGUGAUGGCGCUGCGAUUGGGCUUCACGCCCUUUUUUCCCCCAUUACACGCGCCCAUUGGGCGGCGGCCGAAGAUCGGGCGUUCUGAUUGGAUGGUGGCGAAAGCGGCCUGUUUGAACGAAGCCAACCGAAGCUUAAGGGCAGGAAGCCGAGCCUGGGCGCCGGGGCCCUGCAGCCAGAUCGCAGGCGGGCGGCGGCGAGGCGGCUAGGCGGCUAAGUGACCGGCCCUGUUCUCUGGCAGCCGCUGCCUCCCUGAGGAAGGGAAGGAUUUGAGUGACGGAGCCACCCCGGCCAACUUGGGGCUGAGAGUACCCUGGUGGCUUUCUCCGAAUUGGACAACUUCCUGGUGCCCUUUCGGGAGGGGAAAGAACGUUGGCGUUUCCUGCACGCAGGCACCGUUCCCCUAUGACACAUUUCAUCUUUUUUUUUUUUUUUUCUUUGCUACCGUUGUGUAAAGUUCGUGAUGGUUAUCCUCCGUUUCUACUGAUAGGAAAAAUCUCAAAGGGAUUCUGCUUGUAAGGAGAAGAAACAAAGAUUUAAACCCGAGGCUGACCGGCCCUUUAUUAAAACCGCUGAAGUCGGCUCCCUUCCCCCGCACUAUCAGAAUUCGCUUGUCAAUGAUCUGACCUCCUGGCCUUUUCUCAGGUUCUAUCUUCUGCACAUUUCUCCAUAGUUUAUUUUUACGUGACAUUUGUCCAAUGUACAAAGCGUGGUGCUGGGCAUUUUGGAAAUGAGUCGUGCACCAUGCUCUGAAUGGAGUUAAUAGUUGAGUGAGGCACAUGCAUUUAAAAGUAGUAACAGUGCUGCAAGCAUCUAUGUGAAAGGCAUAGGAAAAUUGCUGAUGGAACCAGUCAGCCCUCACUCCAUCGGUCCCCACUUCUCUGUGGCUGUGCAGGGUUUCCCAAGGAUCUGGGGAUCAGAGAAUAUGCCAUUUGCUACAACAUUUCAGCUAUCUCUCCAGCCCAUUAAUCAAUUUUUUAAUUAAAAAAAAAGAUUUUAUUUA